rnacentral:rRNA from 1 species
UACGUAGGCAGCAAGCGUUGUUCGGAAUUACUGGGCGUAAAGUGUGCGCAGGCGGCGUUGCAAGUCGAGUGUGAAAUCCCCGAGCUUAACUUGGGAAUUGCGCUCGAAACUACGAUGCUAGAGUGUGGCAGAGGAAGGUGGAAUUCCACGUGUAGCGGUGAAAUGCGUAGAGAUGUGGAGGAACACCGAUGGCGAAGGCAGCCUUCUGGGCCAACACUGACGCUCAUGCACGAAAGCGUGGGGAGCAAACAGG